AAAUGUCAUUUCUUCUUGUGUCGGCCCCUCAGUGUGUGUUGAGUGGUGGGUUUGGGCACCGGGCAUGGAUGGCCUUGGCACUCCAGCGGCCGCGACUGUGGUGGCUUAAGUAGCGGUCUUUACACGGAGCUUUGGAUUGUGGGGUUUGCGCGUGUGGAUCGGGGGAAAUGUCCACUUUGUCUGGAGGAGACUACGAGGGGGACCAUGCGUGAGAGGAACCACCCAGAUGUCCAGAUUGUGCCACUACAACAACGGCUUCCACGCCUCACAUGACCAACCCAGAAAAGAAGAACCACUGCUGAAUCUGUCAACCCCACAGACAGAGUGGGCUGAGAACUGAUGAAAGCCAAAGCAGAGGGUCACCUUGGUUUCAACAAACUAAACAGCUGUUUGACCCAAGUCCAGCUAUGUGACCGCUACCAGUGAAUUUGGAUCGUCCAGUGGAGAUGAUGAUUUACAGAUAGCCCCUUGUCUCUUCUCUUUACUGGCCAUCAUUACAUCCAGCACUGGGAGAAAAGGCACUGCGAUCAAGAAAAAAAAAGGACCUCAAAGGAAAUGUGAAAAAGCUAAAGUUUGCUUUACCAUGUGAUUAUAAAGCCCUUCAAACUCCUCAGUGACAUGAUCCCUGCAUCCCAUUGCCUUUGUUUGGUGUUUGAUUUUAGGGCAUCAGGUAUAUGCACAGACAAACCGUGCCUUGCAUAAGUAUUGAUACCCUUUGUAUAGUUGUAAAGCAGAUGUGAAAGGAUAAUUUGGCUUUUAAGUAGAGUUUCUAGUUUAGACACAUGUUGCAUGCAUUUAUCCAUUCCAUUUAGUCAGACAUGUAUCCUCUAUAAAAUCCAUUGUAAAAAGUGUGUCACCAACCUGCUUAUGUAGAUAUAUUUUACUACAGUGUAAUGUGAUCUUAACAAAAAGAAAUGGUGUUUGGUAAAGGCCCUGGAGGGACUAACAGCUCCAUAGAGAAAUAUGCUGCAGGCAUCCAGGGGAAAAGUGCUUUGAAAUAGAAAAAUUGUGGCACAAGUGUGAUUCUACCAAGAACUUGUCUGACCUGAACUAGUACACUAUGUCAGGAGCUGUUCAUCUCUAAAGGAGAUGGAGUGGAUUGAAUCUAUAACGUUUAUCGCUAAACACAUAAAGUAAAUCCAGAUUAUAGGAUUAAAUUCAGAAUUCACAAAAUUCAGUGAUUAAAUUUUUUUUUUUGUAAGUCAGUGGCGUUCUUCUGUACAUAUUUUUCUGUGUUAAUGGAAUUCAAAACGCAAACCCCAAGAGACGAGCAUCAUGCCUUGGGGAAGGUUUUUUUUUUCACUUGGGACAAUGAACUUGCCAGAGUCAAAGGGAAGAUAAAUACAUUCAAAUACUAACGGAACACCUUUUGGAGGGUGCAAAAGGACCUGAACUAAAACAGAGCUUUACCUUAUAGCAGAUCGAUGGCAAAGCUAUCUAAAAGCUUUAACUGAAUAGUUCAGAUCAAAGUAUAUCUUUAUUCACAGCCACAGUAAGGAAAUCUAAUCUUCCAAGAUGCUCUGCAGUCUUACAGAUCAUGGUUCUUUUUGUAAAGAAGAAUGGGGAAGAAAUGCCAAGAUGUGCAAAGUUUUGAAGACCUCCUAUGAAAGAAUUGAAACAAAUGCAGGAACAGUUGGAUUUUCAUACCUAUAUAUGUUAAAAUCAAAUACAAAACAAAAAAUAAUUCCUUCCACUUCCCUAUCACCCUGUUUUUUUGUUGAGCUGUUAAAUAAAUCUGGUUUGAAAACACUCGCAGUAGUAUUUCUCAAGGGACAGAGCUAAAGGAAAUUCAUUGGGUGGGAAUACUUUUGCAAGGCUCUAUACACACAAAAAUUGGAUUACCUACAACAGCUCUCUUUCUCUUGACAACAGCCUCACCGUCUUAAUACUCUUAUACCAUAAGCUGGCAUGUUUGCCAAGAAUCUGCUGAAUUGUCCGAUUAGCAGAAUUUGCCUCAAACUUUUCCAAAAUAUUCCUAAUUGCUCUGUAGCCAGAGAAAAUGUAACUUAAACAGAGUUAUCGUUUGUUAAAGGGAAUAAAUCAAAGCUUUAUUAUUUGUUUUUUCUUUGACCAUGACCUUCAGUUGCUUUGGGAAAGAUGGAGAAUUUUUAAUUUGAAAACAAACCUCUUGAUGGCCUAGAUUUCAUUGGGACUAAAGACAGAAAAUAUUGUUUGUCAUCAAGGUGACUAGUUAUGUUCUUAUUAACAUCUUUGUUGUGUGUGUGUGUGUUUGAGUGAGCAUGUAAUAGAAUUUGGUUUGAACCUAGUGCAAGUUUUUUUUUUUUUUUUUUUUGCAGCUGUUGACAUGAUUUGUUUUAAGUAGAAAAAAGGGCACAAAUGAAAUAGACUGUCAAACUCCUCUUCCUGCCUCCAAAUAAUAAUAAAAAAAUGUGCCUUUGAAUUCAGAAGUAAAUUAACACCUCAAAGUUAAAAGUUGCAGAAUAAACUUUCAGCGUUUUAAAAUAUGUAUUAAUUCCAAGGCCUAAAUGUGCCCUCAAUUAUUUUACCAUUGCCCCUUAAGUAAUUGAUUUUGGGCAGAGAAAAGCAGGAGGUGGAGGGGUGAUCUGUGUUGUUAUGAAAAAGACUACAAAACUAAUAAAUGGAAAAAAUA